rnacentral:lncRNA from 1 species
GGAAGACGCAACUCAGGAAUCUUCUUUCAGCAGUUUAUUCAGGCCUUUGAUAUUUCUUCUUCUCUCUCUCGGAUGCCCCUCCCAGCCUUAAUAAAGCAUCUCAAGCCCCAAUGCGAAGCUGCCACAUGGAGCUUUCUCAUAGGGUGGUGAAAAACCAUGCGCCAACUCUCCCAAAUAAGGAGUUGUUUGUCACAGACCACAGCGGAGCCAGCG